rnacentral:rRNA from 1 species
UACGGGGGGGGCAAGCGUUGUUCGGAAUUACUGGGCGUAAAGGGCUCGUAGGCGGCCAACUAAGUCAGACGUGAAAUCCCUCGGCUUAACCGGGGAACUGCGUCUGAUACUGGAUGGCUUGAGUUUGGGAGAGGGAUGCGGAAUUCCAGGUGUAGCGGUGAAAUGCGUAGAUAUCGAGAGGAACACCUGCGGCGAAGGCGGCGACCUGGUCCGUGACUGACGCUGAGGCGCGAAAGCGUGGGGAGCAAACAGG